UACGGAGGGUGCAAGCGUUAUCCGGAUUCACUGGGUUUAAAGGGUGCGUAGGUGGGUUGGUAAGCUCAGUGGUGAAAUCUCCAGGCUUAACUUGGAAACUGCCAUUGAUACUAUCAAUCUUGAAUACCGUGGAGGUCAGCGGAAUCAUGUCAUGUAGCGGAUGAAAUGCUUAGAUAUGACAUACGAACACCAAUUGCGAAGGCAGCUGGCGUACA
rnacentral:rRNA from 1 species